AUUUUGUUCAGAGCGUUUUUUUUCUGGAUUGUGGGGCGAUCUGAACUAGGGUCUCCUGAAUGACUAACGAACUGAGCCUGACAAUUUUGAUGCAAUCUAAAAAGUUGCUGUACAGGGUAUGGAAAUUGUUCUCUAUGCUGGCUCGCUUGUUGACCACGUACUUCGCUAUCCACGCCAAAUUCUCGUCCGUGAGUAGUUCCGAUAUCUCUUCCGUCUUUAUUAAAAUGUAAGACGGGAACUCCGUCGCAAAAUGGGGUAAAGCGGCUACGUGGGCGCAGUAUUGUGGGUAUUGCCAGAGUCGAUCCUUGAAACUAUCCAGAGCGGUUAAACCAAAGUACCUCAUCUUGUCGCCUCUGCCCGGCCUUUUAAGGGCUUCCAGCACGAAUCUCAAAGCUAUCCCCAGACCCAGUCAAUCCACUUGGGUUAAAUACUGAAGCGCUAUCUUAAAUCGUUCUCCGAGCUCAGAAGCGUCAAACCGACGGAUAACGUUUAGUCGCAUUCCGUAAUGGUUAACGAAUCAAUAUCAUCGGUUCAUAAAUUCAUAAGGUUCAAUCAACCCAAAAUAUAAAUUACUCUAAAAAACGGAAGAAAUAAAAAAAACAAAACAAGAACAUUUUCUCAA